GAUGAACGCUGGCGGCGUGCCUAAUACAUGCAAGUCGAGCGAACGGACGAGAAGCUUGCUUUUCUGAUGUUAGCGGCGGACGGGUGAGUAACACGUGGAUAACCUACCUAUAAGACUGGGAUAACUUCGGGAAACCGGAGCUAAUACCGGAUAAUAUUUUGAACCGCAUGGUUCAAAAGUGAAAGACGGUCUUGCUGGCACUUAUAGAUGGAUCCGCGCUGCAUUAGCUAGUUGGUAGGGUAACGGCUUGCCAAGGCAACGAUGCAUAGGCGAACUGAGAGGGGGAUCGGCCACACUGGAACGGAGACACGGUCAAGACUCCUACGGGAGGCAGCAGUAGGGAAUCUUCCGCAGUGGGCGAAAGCCUGACGGAGCAACGCCGCGUGAGUGAUGAAGGUCUUCGGAUCGUAAAGCUCUGUUAUUAGGGAAGAACAUAUGUGUAAGUAACUGUGCACAUCGUGACGGUACCUAAUCAGAAAGCAACGGCUAACUACGUG
rnacentral:rRNA from 1 species